rnacentral:rRNA from 1 species
AACGAACGCUGGCGGCGGGCUUAACACAUGCACGUCGAACGGACAUCGCAAUAUGUCAGUGUCAGACGGGAGAAUCACACGAGGGAACCUUACUAGAGGUACGGAACAACGCAAGGAAACUGGUGCUAAUACCGUAUACGCUGGAGACAUGCAAGAUUUUUCGCCUUUUGGUAAGCCAGCGUUGGAUUAGGUAGUUGGUGGGGUAACCGCCUACCAAGCCUGCGAUCCAUAGCUGUUCUGAGAGCACGAUCAGCCACACUGGGACCGAGACACGGCCCAGACUCCUACGGCAGGCAGCAGUGCGGAAUCUUGCGCAAUGGACGAAAGUCUGACGCAGCCACGCCGCGUGAGUGAUCAAGGUCUUAGGAUUGUAAAGCUCUUUCGCUCGCGACGAUGAUGACGGUAGCGAGAGAAGAAGCCCCGGCUAACUUCGUGCCAGCCGCCGCGGUAA